rnacentral:rRNA from 1 species
UACGGAGGGGGCGAGCGUUGUCCGAAGUUACUGGGCGUAAAGCGCGCGUAGGCGGGUCGAAAAGUCCGCUGUGAAAGCCCGAGGCUUAACCUCGCGGGUCGGUGGAUACUUUCGGUCUUGAAGGUGCUAGGGGGAAAUGGAAUUACCGGUGUAGCGGUGAAAUGCGUAGAUAUCGGUAGGAACACCAGUGGCGAAGGCGGUUCCUGGGGCAUUCUUGACGUCUGAGGCG